GAUGAACGCUAGCGGCAGGCCUAACACAUGCAAGUCGAGGGGUAGAGGAAGCUUGCUUCCUUGAGACCGGCGCACGGGUGCGUAACGCGUAUGCAAUCUACCUUGCACAGGGGGAUAGCCCAGAGAAAUUUGGAUUAAUACCUCAUAGUGUUUAAGAGUGGCAUCACUUUUUUACUAAAGUUCCAACGGUACAAGAUGAGCAUGCGUCGCAUUAGCUAGUUGGUGUGGUAACGGCAUACCAAGGCAAUGAUGGGUAGGGGUCCUGAGAGGGAGGUCCCCCACACUGGUACGGGGACACGGACCCGACGCCUACGGGAGGCAGCAAGGAGGAAUAUUGGGGAAUGGAGGCAACUCUGACCCAGCCAUGCAGCGUGCAGGAAGACGGUCCUAUGGAUUGUAAACUGCUUUUGUACGAGAAGAAACACUCCUUCGUGAAGGAGCUUGACGGUAUCGUAAGAAUAAGGAUCGGCUAACUCCGUGCCAGCAGCCGCCGUAAGAC
rnacentral:rRNA from 1 species